UACGUAGGGGGCUAGCGUUGUCCGGAAUCAUUGGGCGUAAAGAGCGUGUAGGCGGUUCGUACAGUCAGACGUGAAAUUCCCGGGCUCAACCUGGGGGCUGCGUUUGAUACGUGCGGGCUUGAGUUCGGAAGAGGGUCGUGGAAUUCCCAGUGUAGAGGUGAAAUUCGUAGAUAUUGGGAAGAACACCGGUGGCGAAGGCGGCGACCUGGUCCGAUACUGACGCUGAGGCGCGAAAGCGUGGGGAGCAAACAGG
rnacentral:rRNA from 1 species